UAAAGAACGGGAUAUUGGUCCGGUUCAAUCAGAAAGUGUGGCGCUCCAGAGCUCGGGUCGCAGCUCUUUUGAUUGAGCCGCGCCAAUAUCACGUUCUGAUCA
rfam:Ananas comosus cultivar MD2 ACMD2_Scaffold_8337, whole genome shotgun sequence.